UACGUAGGGGGCAAGCGUUGUCCGGAUUUAUUGGGCGUAAAGAGCGUGUAGGCGGCUAGGUAGGUCCGUUGUGAAAACUCGAGGCUCAACCUCGAGACGCCGGUGGAAACCAUCUAGCUAGAGUCCGGAAGAGGAGAGUGGAAUUCCUGGUGUAGCGGUGAAAUGCGCAGAUAUCAGGAAGAACACCCGUGGCGAAGGCGGCUCUCUGGGACGUGACUGACGCUGAGGUGCGAAAGCGUGGGGAGCAAACAGG
rnacentral:rRNA from 1 species